CUUGAGUUGAGGCUUGCUGUCGGGCUUUCUGGUCUGCAUGGGCCUGCCUGGGAGAAGGAGAAACGGGAGAAAGAAAGGAGUGAGCUGCGCGAUCUUGUUGGGAAGAAUCUCCAUGUUCUCAGUCAGAUAGAGGGUGUUGAUCUUGAUAUGUACAAAGAUAUUGUACUUCCCAGAGUAUUAGAGCAGCUUGUAAAUUGCAAAGAUGAUUGUUCUUCCCA